CAAACUGGAGAUGGCGACCGGCGCACGGGUGAGUAACACGUAUCCAACCUGCCGAUAACUCGGGGAUAGCCUUUCGAAAGAAAGAUUAAUACCCGAUGGCAUAAUAGAACCGCAUGGUUUGAUUAUUAAAGAAUUUCGGUUUAUCGAUGGGGAUGCGUUCCAUUAGGCAGUUGGUGGGGUAACGGCCCACCAAACCUUCGAUGGAUAGGGGUUCUGAGAGGAAGGUCCCCCACAUUGGAACCGAGACACGGUCCAA
rnacentral:rRNA from 1 species